rnacentral:rRNA from 1 species
GUGGGGAAUAUUGGGCAAUGGGCGCAAGCCUGACCCAGCAACGCCGCGUGAAGGAAGAAGGCUUUCGGGUUGUAAACUUCUUUUAAGAGGGAAGAGAAGAAGACGGUACCUCUUGAAUAAGCCACGGCUAACUACGUGCCAGCAGCCGCGGUAAUACGUAGGUGGCAAGCGUUGUCCGGAUUUACUGGGUGUAAAGGGCGUGCAGCCGGGCAGACAAGUCAGAUGUGAAAUCCCGCGGCUUAACCGCGGAACUGCAUUUGAAACUGUCGGUCUUGAGUACCGGAGAGGUCAUCGGAAUUCCUUGUGUAGCGGUGAAAUGCGUAGAUAUAAGGAAGAACACCAGUGGCGAAGGCGGAUGACUGGACGGCAACUGACGGUGAGGCGCGAAAGCGUGGGGAGCAAACAGG